CAACUACAGAAGAUGACACGGCUCGACCGCCUCUCCUUCAGCAUGAAGAAUCAGGUGCUACCCCGACUCAGGAGACAGUUGAGUCGGAUCUCUUGUACACAGUGGAAGACGUUCCUCCCUGGUAUAUGUCCAUCUUCUUUGGAUUUCAGCACUACCUGACGAUGGCGGGGGGGACAGUGGCCAUCCCGAUCAUCAUCGCCUCGUUCCUCUGUCUGCAAGAGGACCACCCGGCUCGUGGGACCCUCGUCUCCACGGUGUUUUUCCACUCCGGCAUCGUCACUCUACUGCAGACAACG